AGGCUGAAAGGGGCUGUAGGGGAAGGAGGUUGGCCACUUCCUGGGAUGAGGGACAUCAACAGGGAAAUGGAGGCAGUCUAGGGGAAGAGCAAGUCCUGAGAUCCUGUCCUGGAGUAAGAACUCUAGCAAGAGACUAGAGGGGGUGAAGUAGCCAUGGAGAGUACAGUAUUCUCCCAUGGUAAACCCUAAGACAGGAGUAGUAAAUGGAGACCUGGCUGGAAGUCACUGGAAGAAAACUAUCACAAAGCAAGCAGAGAGCAGAAGUGGGGCACCUCGUCGCAUGAGCUACUUUCUCAGAUCUAGACACAAGGAGGUCUUACUGAGACUUUAACCUAAACUGAGAGCUAAGACAAGCUCAAAGAAAAUUUGGUUUUAUAAAGAGUGGUUCCUCCUGGUCAUGUUUGAGAUGCAUCAUGGGAUAGGGAGGAGAAGUCUGAAGUACUGCUGUUCAUGCUGUACCUGUACUGUGGAUAAAAGGAGGACUUCACUCUCCAGCCCUCUCAUUCAGGAACCUGCCUUGUUUGCUUGUAUGAUGAGUUGACAUUGAUCCAUGCUUUACUGUACAGAAGAAUACAGCCAGAAAUGAAGCCAUACCUGGAAAGUUUCUUCUUUGAUUCAAAGCAUUGGAUAACAACAUAGUUUCCAUAUGUUAAUAUUAGCUUCACCAACUAUCUUUUACUUCUGUGUCUCACUGUUACAUUUAGUUAGAAGAUAGCAUCACAAUGCUAAACAAAGAAUAGAUUGGCAGUGUUUGGUAAGAAGCUGAGCUGCAUAUGUGAAAUUCAAGAGCUGGGAGGUAUGGAGAAAAGGAAUGUAAUGUUGUGCUGUUAAAAAUAAA